AUGGCAUACAGUUUUAUUGAUAUUAGAACAGAUCAGAGAAGAAUUAGUAUUCUUGACGAACAGAAACAGAGCAGUAUCUCCUACAGAGCAACUAUUACUGACGCUUCGCAUGUACGCUACAGGAUCAUUUCUCAACAAUGGGUGAUUUCAGUGGAAGUUAUUGGCUGCAUAGAUUGCACACAUAUCCGUGUUCAGUCAUUUGGUGGUGAAAAUGCUGAAUUAUUUCGCAAUAAGAAAGGUUAUUUUUCAAUAAAUACUCAAGUAGUAUGUAAUAGUAAUUUAGAAAUAAUAUAGUUGCUCGCUGGCAAGGUUCUGUACAUGACAGUACGAUUUUCAACAAUAGUCGUUUAAGAGCAAACUUUGAGAAUGGAACAUAUAACGGUUUCUUAUUAGGAGAUUCUGCAUACCCCUUAUGGCAAUACCUUCCAACUCCGUUAAUAAAUCCACGAACUGCUGCAGAACAAUUGUAUAACGAAUCACAUAUUCGUACGCGAAAUUUAAUAGAGCGUCUUUUUGGUAUCUGGAAAAGAAGGUUUCCAAUUUUGGCACUUGGAAUGCGAUACCAUUUACCUAGAGUAAUGACUGUUAUCACUGCGACAGCAGUGUUGCAUAACAUUGCUAGGCAUAAUAAUGAAGUAGAUCUAGAUAUCGAUCCAGAUUUGCAUUUGCCUAUGCCAUGAGACGAAAUGUUAGCAGAUUGCAACAUAAAUAAUGGCAUUCACAAUAACGAAGCUAUUGAUGUAGCGAUUUGAACAGAGUUGAUCCAUAAUUAUUUUACCAAGUAUGUUGCGGUUUUAUCUACAAAUUUUCCAGCUUUUGUCUGUAAAUUUUAUUCGCUAUUAGUAUCCUCAUGUUAUACAUUAAUACAUAAUUUUAAAUUGCAUAUUAAUCAUGUUAUUAUAAAAAAUGUAAACACAUAAUUUAUAAUUAUAAAUUAUUUAUUAUAACUUAUUUCUUUUUCAACCCUUUGUAAUAAUCUAAGGAAUACAGUGACUUCUUGGAUCAUCGAUUAUGGAUUUAAUGCUUGAGAAAACAUUUAACAGAUUCAUUUAAAGACAACUGAUCGAUUUGUGAAACUGCUCUGUGAAAAUAUAAAUUUAGUUAUGUUAAGAUUUAACAAAGAUAUUAGUUUUAGUUCUUUCUUUGUACAUUUCUUGUUUGUGACAUUGUAUUGAAGAAUAUUAUUUUAAUGCAUUUUAUUAUCAUAUAGAAAUUAUCUAAGCAAUAUGAUUUAAAUUAACGAAAUUGUCUUUCUAUUAAUCUAUUUAAUUUGUCUAAGAAUAAUUAAAUCAUAAUUGAAUCAUAUUUGUUAUCAUUUUCAUGUGACAGAAAUACGUGUAGGAGGGAGAGAAAUAUCGAAUAUUAUUGUAUUUAUUAUAACUAUAAUUUUAUAAUAAACGUUAAUUUACAUAA